CAGUAGCCGCGGUAAAACGAAGGGGGCUAGCGUUGUUCGGAUUUACUGGGCGUAAAGGGUGCGUAGGCGGACUGAUAAGUCAGGGGUGAAAUCCCAAGGCUCAACCUUGGAACUGCCUUUGAUACUGUUAGUCUUGAGUUCGAGAGAGGUGAGUGGAACUGCGAGUGUAGAGGUGAAAUUCGUAGAUAUUCGCAAGAACACCAGUGGCGAAGGCGGCUCACUGGCUCGAAACUGACGCUGAGGCACGAAAGCGUGGGGAGCAAACAGGAUUAGAUACCCCCGUAGUCCCUGUCUCUUAUAC
rnacentral:rRNA from 1 species